CCCAGCUGAUCUGAUGGUGGCUUAUAUCUCAUGUCACUAAAAUUUGCUUGAUUCUGUGGAAAUCUUUUGGAACCCUAAAGAGAUCCCAUGGGUUGAGUAUGUUGUGGAGUCGAUUGGCGUGUUCACCGACAAGGACAUGGCUUCCGCCCAUCUCAAGAUCUAUUUGUUCUUUGAAAGCUUCAACAUCGGUUAAUUAUCAGAAAGGAGCACAUCUUACUUACUAGAUUGUGGACUACAGAAACAAGCUUUGUAAGGAAUCUGUGGGAGAAGAAAGGAAUUCUUUAUCAUUAUUUCCCAAUGCACCAGUUCCAUGUUGGCAAGCUGCCACACCUCAUGGCAUGGGAUUUGGCAUGCAAUGUCAAUGCCUGCAUUUCCCCAAAAAUCAAAAACUACCAACCCAUUUGAUCUUGGCACUGAACCAACUCCAGUUCAUGCCCAAAUGGUUGUGAAAUGUGAGUUGCCGGUUGUCCUUGCAAGGGAAUUACCAUAUGAGGAAUGUCCAAUCUAGCUCUCUAGUUCCCAAUCAGCUAUAUUUUAAUCCUGCUACUGUGAAAAUGUUGAGCAACUUGAAGUUUGGUUUUGCAGUAUAAAAGCAAUGCGUGGUUCGUGACGUGGUCAGCCAUGUGCAGUAAGCUUUCGGAUUAAAGCGAAGCUGAGAAUAGGGUGUUAGUUGAUGGAAAAUUGAUAACCAGUAGAGGCACAUCCAUGGUGUUGUCGCUUGUGAUUGUUGAGAAGCUAUUUAACUGCGAAAAGGCAUUGGAUCUUGUUGUCAAUGAGAACUUUAAAUAGACAUAUAACUAUUAUGUUGGUAUUGUACUUUUGUUAAUGGAUUAAAAUAAAUGAUUGUAUUUGAUUGAAUGAAUGAAUGAUUAUAUUUGAUUGAAUGAAUAA